UACAGAGGGUGCGAGCGUUAAUCGGAAUUACUGGGCGUAAAGCGCACGUAGUCGGCUUUGUAAGUUAGAGGUGAAAGCCCGGGGCUCAACUCCGGAAUUGCCUUUAAGACUGCAUCGCUAGAAUUGUGGAGAGGUAAGUGGAAUUCCGAGUGUAGAGGUGAAAUUCGUAGAUAUUCGGAAGAACACCAGUGGCGAAGGCGACUUACUGGACACAUAUUGACGCUGAGGUGCGAAAGCGUGGGGAGCAAACAGG
rnacentral:rRNA from 1 species